CGUUACAACAUGACUGUAGAAAAUGUAGCGCACAUUUCUCUGCAAAAUUAGAAGUAGGAUAAAUGUGUUGAUUUGAAGGACAGACUGACAGACUCUGGUAAGUCUUGGCUACAUAUAACUAUUAUAAAGUUAGGUCGUAGUCAGACAUUCAAUAGACAGAGUAACCUUGAGAUAUGAUUCUUUAUCAUGCUGACCAACCUGGGCCCGGUUUCUGCGAUAGAAUUUAGACUUAACGCUGGAAACGCAUAAGAAGUGGUAAACGAUAAUUAACAAAAUACAGUGUUGAGUAAACGCUAUUUUACAAAUAAAAAGGUGUGUAAGUGCGUUUACGUGGGUUUACCCUCCACCACAUCCCCGUUGAGGUGGUGUGCAGCGUAGAGUGCAUAGUCAUUUAGUCUCUAUGGGCCAGAUGGUGAGGGCCACAGCAUAGUCCUUUAGUCUCUAUGGGCCAGAUGGUGAGGGCCACAGCAUAGUCCUUUAGUCUCUAUGGGCCAGAUGGUGAGGGCCACAGCAUAGUCCUUUAGUCUCUAUGGGCCAGAUGGUGGGGGCCACAGCAUAGUCCUUUAGUCUCUAUGGGAAAAGAAACUGUUCAGAUGGGGGUCUAUAACAUCCAAUCACAUACUCCUCAAGAUGAGGCUCAUGAUUUAUAAGUUAUAUACCUUUUAAUCUUUACAUAUAUUGUCUUUAUUUAAACCAAGGUAGUUUGAGUUAGUAGCGAUGAAGUAGCAACUGUCAGCUGCUGUAAACCUGUGACAGUCUUCAUAGGAGAGCUGAUCUCGGAUCAGUUUAGCUUAUUAUAUCAUAUUGAUACUGCUGUAAACCUGUGACAGUCUUCAUAGGAGAGCUGAUCUCAUAUCAGUUUAGCUUAUUAUAUCAUAUUGAUACUGCUGUAAACCUGUGACAGUCUUCAUAGGAGAGCUGAUCUCGGAUCAGUUUAGCUUAUUAUAUCAUAUUGAUACUGCUGUAAACCUGUGACAGUCUUCAUAAGAGAGCUAAUCUAAGAUCAGUUUAGCUGUUUAUAUCAUAAUAAUACUCCUGUAAAGUCAGGUUACAGCAGGUGUUUACUGUCAUCUAGUGGAAGAUAUUGUAUUUUUAUUUCACUUUUAUUUAACUAGGUAAGUCAGAACAAAUUCUUAUUAACAAUGACGGCCUACCCCGGCCAAACCUUGACGACGCUGUGCCAAUUGUGCGCCGCCCUAUGGGACUCCCAGUCAUGCAGCCUGGACUCUAACCAGGUACUGCAGUGACGCAAGAGGCGGGACUGCACCACUCGGGAGGUGGCUGAGCUGAAACAGAAAGUAAAGUUGUUCUUUUGUUCAGGAUCCAUUUUGAGACGACAGAGCAGAAAACACUAUAUGGAGAUUAUUGAAAAAUAAAGGCUCAGUGCUCUAAAAUGAGUCUCUCUGGGGAGAUAGAGGAGGUGGUCCCUGCCUCUAAAAUGAGUCUCUCUGGGGAGAGAAAGGAGGGGGGCCCGCCUCUAAAAUGAGUGUCUCUGGGGACAUGACACCAAAACUAAGAGCCCAAUCAAGCAGGAGAGACCAGCCUCCCCUGUACCCAGCUGUGUGUCCAUGAAGAGUGACAAGUCUAUGAAUGAACCUAAUCACUUUAGAGAGGGAUACUUUUCUACUGAACAAAGACCAAUCAAGCAGGAGAGACCAGCCUCCCCUGUACCCAGCUGUGUGUCCAUGAAGAGUGAGCAGUCUAUGGCGCCUCCUAUAUC